ACUGCUAGCUAAUGCCAUUAGGAAGAAACAGUUCUAUAAGGAAACUGUCAGAUUUGAAAGAGUCAUACCGUCCAAUCUCAACGGAUUAUAUUCUACAGCUAUGAAUCUUUGGAAAACUUAAAAAAUACUUGAUUGUUUAGAUUAAUAUAGCAAGUUAUACAUUCAGGGAUGGAGUGAGCGAGGGUCAAUUCCAUCAAGUUCUACUAUAUGAAUUAGAUGCGAUCAGAAAAACCUGUGCCUCUCUAGAACCAAACUAUCAACCUCCAGUGACUUUUAUGGUGGUCCAAAAAUGGCAUCACACUAGACUGUUUGCUAACAAUCACGGUGACCACCAAUUUGUUGAUAAGAGUGGAAACAUAUUGUCUGGUUAGUUUAGUUGAUAGCAUGAAUGCAUCAUUUUUAGGACAAUUCUAUUAUAUUUUUUUCAAACCUUGUUUUUUCAAUGGAGCUUUCCAUCCUUGAAAUUCCAAGGACUGUUGUCAAUUCUAAGAUAUGUCAUCCUACUGAAUUUGACUUCUACUUGCAGCCAUGCAACAUUCAAGUAACUCAUCUCACAACUAAUACCUUUUGUAUGAUGUACUUAUUCAGGUUGUUGAUCUCCUAGUACCUUAUCAAAAGGGUAGAAAGAUUGGACUUUUAUUUCUUGUUUUUAUUUUUGGUAGAAAGUAAUAAAGGAAACAAUGCCUUCUAGUUUUAAGUAUGAAAUUUAUUUCUUGUUUUUAUUUUUGAUUUCUCUUGCAUGGCAUAAUGUUUUCUGCUUGAUUUUUCUAUUGGAGCAGCUCAUGCUAUCCGAUGAUUUUGGAAGAAGAGAAACAAAAUACCAAAAUGAAAUCUUUCAUUUUAAAACUUCAUUCUUCUUGCAUUUAUAGUCUCCAGCUUUUCUUGGUGUUUAGAACAAAAGUGAAAAACUAGUUCAGCAAUCCUAUCAUUGGAUUAAGGUAUUAUUAAUUUCCCCACUGUUAAAAACUGUUAAAAGACAACGGAUUUUAUCCUUCCACAAUCAAGAUUCAUUCUCUGGUUGACAAUCAGAAACUGAGAUUGAAGCAGCAGAUAUUGAAUACUAUUUUAGCAUGGAUAAUCUCUGUAAGGACAUUUUUCUUCGUGGCAAGAUGGAUGAUCAAGGUUGGGUUCCUAUCUCAUUGAUUGCUACCUUUAACAUGGUCAAAAGGGUGACAACGAGCAUAGCGGUGAUAUUGAAUGCUCUAAGAGAUUCGACAGAACUUGAAAUACAUAGAAAAUUAGAAGACGAGAGGAUUGGAUGAGAUGGUUACUGCCCUCGAUGGAAAAUCCAAAUGGUCAUGGUUCCACGCCUCACUUGACAUUGAACCAUGAUGAUUCAGUCAUUCACCCCAUGCAGACUCUCAGAUUAGAGGAAUCUUCGAGCCAGGCUACCAUGAGUCGUACUCAAACUGAGGUAGCACUUGAUAAGGGAUCAGCAUCCUGUAGCUGCAGUAGCCAGCAGGGUAGAGAUCCAGCUCAACUAGAAGAACUUUGUUGCAGCA